AGAGAUAGCUCAGUGGUAGAGCUUGUGUUUAGUAUGCACAAGAUCCUGGGUUCUACCUCCAGGUCGCU
rnacentral:tRNA from 1 species